GAUUGUAGGUAUUGAAUUUCUUUAUCAUUUUCAUUGAUGACUUUAAUGAUUAGUUUAUUAAUUAGCAGCAAAAUUGCAUUUCCGUGUUUUGAACCAUUCUUUCAUCAGAUUUGUCUAGCAGGCGAACCGAAUGAUGUAGGACUACGAUUUUUUCAUCAGAUUGUAAGUAUUGAAUGCGUUUAUAAUUUUUGUAAAUAAUUUUCUUGCUUCGUACAAUGGAAAAUGAAUUAAAUUAGUAUUUUAAGUUUAAGCAGACCCUUGCAGAUUUCUGGGUUAAUUGGAAGUCACAAAACUGGAUGGCGCUAGUCGGCUAUGUUUAACUAUCUUUUGUUUCGUCACAUCUAGAAUGCGCUAGUGUCCGCAUAUCUAUUUUGUUUUGUGCCGCCACCGCUAGAUGACGCUUCCAUCGAUUUAGUUUAAAUUCAUACUUAAUUUUUGUUGUUAUUUUUAGAACGGUGAGUUACUACACUUUUAUACACAACUUUUAUGUUUAACAAAACAAGAAAUAACAAUAUUGCAUACUUAGGCUUCGAAUUCUGUAAUUUUCGAUUGAUAAGGUGAUUAGCGAGCAAAGCCGAUGUCGUAAGACAACCUUUAUUUCAUGUGAUUCCAAGUGUUCUAGUUGUUUACAACUGUCAUAUACAACAUUUAUGUUCAAUACUAGGGUAAGCCACAAACGCUAUUUCACCACAGUACGUUAAUUAAAAAUCGUUUUACCAAAUAAUCUUUUUUUAAACUACCUCAUAACUUGUUAACUUGCAAUAAUUUGUAAUCGAAUUUCUGUCGUAUGCAGAUGGAUGAAUGCCCCUCCAACCGCGGGUCGGUUAUCAAUUCUCUGGUUUGCUUAGAUCGGCUUAGUUGGUUGAGCGCUGUUGCGUGGUGCGCACGUCUUAUUCUCAUUAAUCAAACGUGAAGACGAAUUUUGCGUUUCUUGAUAUUUUGUAGCAUUUCUAGAAUCGAUGGACAUAAUUUAUAUGUUUGACGUGAGUACAUUUGGAAUCUCCGCGUGGAAUAGUAACGAAGUGCGUAUCAUCAAUUCUACAUACAAUUGGCGAAAACGUGUUUGUGCGCUUUAGUCAUUUGAUAGACGAACAAAGGUGUAAGUAGCAUCAAAUAAAACUUAACUUUAACUUUUAAAAUCCUACAGUUACCAUGUUUUGCAUUAUAAUAAUUGUAAUAUAAUAAAGAAUAAAGAAAAUUUGUAAGGAAA